rnacentral:rRNA from 1 species
AGUCGAACGAGAAAGCCGCAAGGUGAGUAAAGUGGCGGACGGGUGAGUAAUACCUAGGUAAUCUACCUUACUGUGUGGAAUAGCUACUCGAAAGGGUAAUUAAUACCGCAUACGGUUUCAGAUCUUAUGAUCUGAAAAGAAAGGGGGGUCGUAAGAUCUCUCGCAGUAAGAUGAGCCUGGGCCUGAUUAGCUAGUUGGUAAGGUAAUGGCUUACCAAGGCGACGAUCAGUAGCUGAUCUGAGAGGAUGAUCAGCCACACUGGAACUGACACACGGUCCAGACUCCUACGGGAGGCAGCAGUGGGGAAUAUUGCACAAUGGGAGAAAUCCUGAUGCAGCGACGCCGCGUGGGUGAUGAAGGCCUUCGGGUUGUAAAGCCCUGUCGACUGGGAACAAGGUAGACGUGCUCAUACCACGUCUGCUUGAGUGUACCAGUAAAGGAAGCACCGGCUAACCCUGUGCCAGCAGCCGCGGUAAUACAGGGGGUGCUAGCGUUGUUCGGAAUCACUGGGCGUAAAGGGCGCGUAGGCGGUUUCGCAAGUCAGAAGUGAAAUCCCGGAGCUUAACUCCGGAAUUGCUUCUGAUACUGCGAGGCUAGAGUGUAUUAGAGGAUGGCGGAAUUCCUAGUGUAGUGGUGAAAUACGUAGAUAUUAGGAAGAACACCUGUGGCGAAGGCGGCCAUCUGGGAUACAACUGACGCUGAGGCGCGAAAGCGUGGGGAUCAAACAGGAUUAGAUACCCUGGUAGUCCACGCCGUA